UACGUAGGGCGCGAGCGUUAAUCGGAAUUACUGGCCGUAAAGCGUGCGCAGGCGGUUUUGUAAGACAGGCGUGAAAUCCCCGGGCUCAACCUGGGAAUGGCGCUUGUGACUGAAAAGCUGGAGUGCGGCAGAGGGGGAUGGAAUUCCGCGUGUAGCAGUGAAAUGCGUAGAUAUGCGGAGGAACACCGAUGGCGAAGGCAAUCCCCUGGGCCUGCACUGACGCUCAUGCACGAAAGCGUGGGGAGCAAACAGG
rnacentral:rRNA from 1 species